rnacentral:tRNA from 1 species
UCCCUGGUGGCUCAGACGGUAAAGUGUCUGUCUACAAUGCAGGAGACUCGGGUUCAAUCCCUGGGUUGGGAA